rnacentral:lncRNA from 10 species
UGGAGCAGAGCUGCACUGACUCUUUCUUAUCCAUGGGUAGCACAAGCGAAAAAUAAACUUCUGUGGUGCAAAGUCACUGAGAUUCAGGAGUUGUUGCCAAAGCGGAGCCGAGCUCAGUGGUUCCCAGUCUGGUCCCAGGCACCACGUAAGAUGUUCCUUUGCUCUUCCUUCAUCUUCCACCAUGAUUGUGAGGCCUCCCCAGCCAUGCUGAACUGUGGGUAACCACCACAGGCCCACAGGCUAAAAUUGAGCUGGAGUAAGUGGCAACAGAGAGUAUUUAUUGUCCCCUAAGAGCCCUGGCCCUUGUAGGACAUGUGAAUGCCAGUGCUCAUGGAGAAAGGUGGAGGAAGAGAGCCAGAGUGCAGUUCACCUCUGGGAGAGCAGACCAGAGUGGCUUCCGUGGGCACAUGCUGGAUUGAAGUGAGAAGACGUGACUACUAAAGUUGAGGCCCCAAGUCUCAGCUUCUUCCCCCUCCAAAGCAUGAGUGGAGGAUUCACUUAAGGCCACUUUGAAGCCCAUAUUGGAGGAGCAUUACUCACUCUGAGGAUCCUGGCAUAGGCAGAUGCAUCACUUGUAUUGAAGUAUAUUAUCUGCUGUGAUAUUUAUGAUGAAAUGAGUUUGCCAGCCAUCGUCUAUCAGGGGAUCAAACAUAGGCACCUGCCUGUCCAAGGGGGUCUAAGUCACAGUACAGAAGUGGUUUGCAAAGGCUGGUGGGAUGGUGUGGCAGGCCUGUGGAGUUGAAUAAAAAUCCUGAUGUCCUUCCUGGCAUGAAGAAUGGAGCUGCCAAGCUGCCCCCAGGAGAAGCGUGCUGCCUAUGCAUCUCACUGGACUUCUGUGUACAGAAGAAAUAUUGGUGGUUUGACC